rfam:Idiomarina sp. A28L contig00033, whole genome shotgun sequence.
GGAGUCAGCCAAGACAAUCGCCGCUUACGUAACUUUCGGGUUAACGCGAGGGGAGGAAAGUCCGGGCUCCAUAGGGCAGGGUGCCAGGUAACGCCUGGGCGGCGUGAGCCGACGACAAGUGCAGCAGAGAGCAAACCGCCGAUGGCCCAUGUUUUCGCAAGAAAGUGUGGGAUCAGGUAAGGGUGAAAGGGUGCGGUAAGAGCGCACCGCACGGCUGGUAACAGUUCGUGGCUGGGUAAACUCCACUCGGAGCAAGACCAAAUAGGGAUUCUUGGGGCGGCCCGCCUCGGAUCCGGGUAGGUUGCUUGAGGCUAUGGGUGACCAUAGUCCUAGACGAAUGAUUGUCCACGACAAAACCCGGCUUAAUGGCUGACUCCAACU